rnacentral:rRNA from 1 species
UACGGAGGGAGCUAGCGUUGUUCGGAAUCACUGGGCGUAAAGGGUGCGUAGGCGGGUCUUUAAGUCAGGGGUGAAAUCCUGGAGCUCAACUCCAGAACUGCCUUUGAUACUGAGGAUCUUGAGUUCGGGAGAGGUGAGUGGAACUGCGAGUGUAGAGGUGAAAAUUCGUAGAUAUUCGCAAGAACACCAGUGGCGAAGGCGACUUACUGGACACAUAUUGACGCUGAGGUGCGAAAGCGUGGGGAGCAAACAGGG